rnacentral:rRNA from 1 species
AACGAACGCUGGCGGCAGGCCUAAUACAUGCAAGUCGAACGAUGCAGCAAUGCAUAGUGGCGCACGGGUGAGUAACGCGUGGGAAUGUGCCCUUGGGUGCGGAAUAGCUACUGGAAACGGUAAUUAAUACCGCAUAAUAUCUACGGAUCAAAGAUUUAUCGCCCAAGGAUCAGCCCGCGUCUGAUUAGCUAGUUGGUGGGGUAAUGGCCUACCAAGGCGACGAUCAGUAGCUGGUCUGAGAGGAUGAUCAGCCACACUGGGACUGAGACACGGCCCAGACUCCUACGGGAGGCAGCAGUAAGGAAUAUUGGACAAUGGGGGAAACCCGUACGAUCCAGCCACUGCCGCGUGAGUGAUGAAGG